rnacentral:ncRNA from 1 species
AUCUUCGGGGCAGGGUGCAAUUCCCUACCGGCGGUGACAGUCCGCGAGCCGAAUUUCCGUUUUGGAAAAGAGGGCACGAACCGGUGAAAUUCCGGUACCGACAGUAAAGUCUGGAUGAGAGAAGAU